ACACGGGGGGCGCAAGCGUUAUUCGGAAUUAUUGGGCGUAAAGGGCGCGUAGGCGGUCUUGUCGGUCAGAUGUGAAAGCCCAGGGCUCAACCCUGGACGUGCAUUUGAAACAGCAAGACUUGAGUACGGGAGAGGAAAGCGGAAUUCCUGGUGUAGAGGUGAAAUUCGUAGAUAUCAGGAGGAACACCGAUGGCGAAGGCAGCUUUCUGGACCGAUACUGACGCUGAGGCGCGAAAGCGUGGGGAGCAAACAGGAUUAGAUACCCGGGUAGUCC
rnacentral:rRNA from 1 species